UUUUCUGAACAACGAGGUUACAUUUACCACAGAUAACCUUGAAUUACAGUGGCCAGAGUGGCUAGAUAAAUUUACUCAUUUAUGAAGUACCUUAGAGAUAAAAGGGUCUCAGCCAGGGUAAAGAGAUUAUUUUUCUUCCUUUAUAUUUUCUGAUGACCAGGAUGGGAACUAUUAAGAUACCCGAGUCACUCUGGAGCCUGCAAAUGAGAUCCUGGGAAAACCAGCAAAACCCAGAAAAGGAAAUAGAAAAUUUGAACAGACCAUUUACCAGCAAGGAAAUCAAAUCAGUAAUCCAAAAAAAACCUCUAUACAUACAAAAGUCCAGGACCAGAAAGCUUCACAAGUGAAUUCUACCAAACAUUUGAAGAAGAGUUAAUACCUAUUCUUCCCAAACUAAUCCAAAAAACAGAAGAGGAAAGAAAGCUUCUACAUGCAUUCUAUGAGGCCAGCAUUAACCUGAUAGCAAAACCACAUAAAGACACUACAAAAAAAGGAAGACUACAGGACAAUAUCUCUGAUGAAAAGAUGUAAAAAUCCUCAACAAAAUAGUAGCAAACUGAAUCCAACAUUAUAUUUUUUAAAAAUUACUCACCACAAUCAUACAGGAUUUAUUCCUGAGAUGUAAGGGUGGUUCAAUAUUCACAAAUCAAUCAAUGUUAUACAUCAGAUCAACAAGAUAAAGGACAAAAUCCCAUGGGUUCAUCUCAAAAGAUGCAGAAAAGCAUUUGACAAAGUACAACAUACAUUCAUGAUAAUAAAGUAGGUUUAGAGGGAACAUACUUCAACAUAAUAUAGGCCAUGUAUGAAAAUCCCACAGCAAAUAUAAUACUCAAUGGGAAAAAACUAAGAGCAUUUCCCCUAAGAUCAGGAACAAAACAAGGACAUCCACUCUCACCAGUUUUAUUCAACAUAGCAAUGGGAAUCCUAGCCACAGCGAACAGAUAAGAAAAAGAAACAGGAGUCGUCAAGAUGGCGGAGAAGUAGCAGGCUGAGGCUACAUCAGGUAGCAGGAGAUCAGCUAGAUAGCUUAUCUAAACAUUGCAAACACCUACAAAUCCAACAGGAGAUUGAAGAGAAGAAGAACAGCAAUUCUAGAAAGAGAAAAUCAACCA
rnacentral:lncRNA from 1 species